rnacentral:rRNA from 1 species
GACGAACGCUGGCGGUGUGCUUAACACAUGCAAGUGGUGCGACGAACCAGAGCUUGCUCUGGGGCAAAGCCGCGAACGGGUGAGUAACACGUGGGUAAUCUACCCCGAUGACCGGGACAACCCGAGGAAACUCGGGCUAAUACCGGAUGUGGUACGGAGACAUAAGUCUCUUUACUAAAGGUAGCUUCGGCUUCCGCAUUGGGAGGGGCCCGCGGCCCAUUAGCUAGUUGGUGGGGUCAAGGCCUACCAAGGCAACGAUGGGUAGCUGGUCUGAGAGGACGAUCAGCCACACUGGGACUGAGACACGGCCCAGACUCCUACGGGAGGCAGCAGUGGGGAAUCUUGCGCAAUGCGCGAAAGCGUGACGCAGCAACACCGCGUGAGGGAGAACGGCCUUAGGGUUGUAAACCUCUUUCAGAUGGGACGAAGGUGAUGCGUGAAUAGCCGAUGUCAUUGACGGUCGUCAGAAGAAGCUCCGGACUACUACGUGCCAGCAGCCGAC